rnacentral:lncRNA from 1 species
UCUAUCAAUUGCCAAAACUGAAGAGCAGCUGCAUGCGGUAUCUUGUGAAGUUUGGGAAGAUAUUUGACAUUCGAGAUGACUUCAGUGUCUUCUUGCAAUGUGCAGACAGGGAACUUAUAGCUGAAGUCUUCCAUGAAGUUCUUGGUGCCUGGAAAGGUUUCUGAAGUUCAGUUUACACAAGGAAAAGAUGAACAAAAUCUAUCCGCUAUUCUCAUAUGUCCAUGAAUUGUUUGGGUCAUUAGACAGAAAUAGUGUGCAGAAUUUGUUGACAAGAAGAUGAUUCUUUUGUUCAGAUGAAUUUGUCGAUGUCUUCUUCAUUGUACAUAUACAUUGGUUUUCUUGGCAUAGACAAGAGUAUUAUUGAAACAGAGGAAUGCAAAUUCAUUAAAUUGUAAUGAAUAGUUUGACAUGGGAAUAAUUUGCGACAUACAAUGAUUGAUUUUUACUGGAAUUUUACUGUUGCAUCUCAAUGUUCAUGAAUUGUACUUUGACUCCUGCUUAAAGAGAUCCUCCUAUUACAAAUUUUUUUAUUUCUGCAACAGCCAUGCUUUACAGACCCUAUACUGAUAUAGGGUAGAGGCAGUAAAAAUAUAUGAAGCAAAACUGAAAUUUUACUGAGAUUUGCAUUAGGUGGAUUUUGGAAUUAAAAAGACAAACAAGGGGAAGGGAAUCAAAUGUAUAGAAGCACCACUCUUUGUGUUUGCGUGUUUCAAUUCGACCAUCAAACUAGAUUGAGAAUGAAUCUCCAAUUGAUUCAUAAACCUCGGUGGCAAAGAGGUUAGCAAAUGUAAGAGCCAAUCAAGUGAGCAUGUAGAAGGACAGGAACUACAUAACAAUACGUCACAAAUUUUGACAGGAAAACUCAGUGGUACAAAAUAAUUCCGCUACUUAAUAGGCCAUCAUAUUGCCAAAAGGGACCCAAAAUUACUUAAAUGAGAGGAAGGAGGCUAAAAUGUGAACAUAAACCAUUUGAAAGUCAGGUCUUUUCUGAUCAAUAAUCUUUUCUCAGUCUGCAAGAUCUUUUUUUUUUUUUUUUUUUUUUUCCCAACCAAAAUCCAGGAUUUGAUGACACCUCAACAGAGGCAAAAUCUCCAACGCAUUGACCUUCUCUUUUUAAAAACACAGGUAAAAUGCAAGCAUCAUAUUAACUAAGAUAUUGAAAAAGGAUCACACUAACUAAGACAUCACUUCCAAGUGAACUUGCUCUUAUGGCGAUUUUGCAGGGAAACACAGCCGAGAAUGACAGCUCAAGCUGUAAUUUGCCCACUCUAUUAGGCCAUAAUGGUUUCAUAACAACAACAGUGCUGACUUUCACAGACAAUCAUAUCAAUCAUUUUUCAUUUCUUCAGAUAUGGUUUACAUAUGGAAAUCAAAUUGUUUAACUUUAAAAGCAUGACUAACCAAUAAUUUAAUUAACUCAAUUUGAGUUGGGAGCUUCCAUAUCAAAAAUUGAAUAUCAAGACCAAGUCAGUAUCCCAAACACCAUAAACAUCAAAAGAACAUGUAACUUUUUUUGUGCGUGAAUGAAGAAUCAACUCACCUUCAAGAGGAAAUCUCUGCGGAUCUUCUAAUACCAGUUUGGUGAAAAGAACCAUGGAACUGGAACAUGGAGGGAACGUGAAGUUAGUUGUUACACUCGGAAUAUGGAGGGGAAUAUUACUAGGAUCUUUUGAAAUAUUAUUAGUGCGUGGUGACUUUGAUUGGGCUCCAGGCCCAAGGCCCAAAGCCUUUCUAUCUGUUGAACAAGUCUAAACCUGUUGGGACCCAAAAGAAGAAAUUUCUUUCCCCGUUACUAUGAUGGAAUGGAUCCAAAUCCAAUUAAACAUUUUUUGAAGGGAGACUGUGAGAGCAUCGGCAAAUUACUAAAAUAGCACCAAGUUAUAAAUAUUUUCUGAAAUCGACAAGCUUCCCUGAAAUCCUGGAUGCUCGGUGAAAUCUAGGAGGCCUUUAUCUUGUUUAAUAAUUACUACAAAUGUUGAAGAAAACAUGGCACAACAACAAUUACGUGGUUCAACUAAUUCUCAUUAGCUUACAUCCAUAGGAAGAAUAGAUGAUCGGCUUUAUUAAUUAUUCAAGAUGAAUUAGAAGAUUUUACAAAGUUCAAUAUGUUAGGAAAUUGAUGGGUGAAGCAGACACGCAGCUAAAGUAAAAUUAGAAGAAAAAUAAAGAACAAGCACAAAAAUGGACACUAGAAAUUACGUGGUUCGGCUUUUAGCCUACGUCCACGGGCGAAAACAGAAGGAAAUAUUUUACUAGUAAAAAGAAGUUACAAGUAUUGUAGUAUUUUAUCUCACUUUCCAAAAUCCCAAUACACCUAAACUCUCAAAACACUAAUCACUCAAGAGUUUAUUAAACUCUUAAUACUCUCAACUCUAAAGGAAAGAAAUGC